rnacentral:rRNA from 1 species
AGAGAAUAGAUACCCAGGUAGUCCACGCCGUAAACGAUGCACACUAGGCAUUGGGAGUAUCGACCCUUCUUGUGCCGAAAGCUAACGCGUUAAGUGUGCCGCCUGGGAAGUACGGUCGCAAGACUAAAACUCAAAGGAAUUGACGGGGGCUCGCACAAGCGGUGGAGCAUGUGGUUUAAUUCGACGACAAGCGGGGAACCUCACCCAGGCUUGACAUCUAGGGAAAGCCCAUGAAAGUGGGCCGUGCCGCAAGGAACCCUAAGACAGGUGUUGCACGGUCGUCGUCAGCUCGUGUCGUGAGAUGUACGGUUAAGUCCGUAAACGAGCGAAACCCUUAUCCGGUGUUAUAUUUUUCACCGGAGACUGCCGGCUUUAAGCCGGAGGAAGGUAGGGAUGACGUCAGAUCAGCGUGGCCCUUACGCCUGGGGGCAACACACGUGCUACAAUGCCAUAGACAAUGAGUCGCCAAGCUGCAAAGCGGAGCUAAUCUCAUCAAAAUAUGGCCCAGUUCGGAUUGGAGUCUGCAACUGACCCCAUGAA